AUCGAGCGGAAAUCUUCGCAAGAGAUACGGACUCCGUGGAUGAGCGCAUAAACGACGACAACGACGACAGUCUGACGGGCCUACGAGCCCGCUCGCAUUUUCAUCAAUACAGCCAUAACAUCAACAGCGUGCACAUCGAGCGGAAAUCUUCGCAAGAGAUACGGACGCCGUGGAUGAGCGCAUAAACGACGACAACGACGACAGUCUGACGGGCCUACGAGCCCGCUCGCAUUUUCAUCAAUACAGCCAUAACAUCAACAGCGUGCACAUCGAGCGGAAAUCUUCGCAAGAGAUACGGACUCCGUGGAUGAGCGCAUAAACGACGACAACGACGACAGUCUGACGGGCCUACGAGCCCGCUCGCAUUUUCAUCAAUACAGCCAUAACAUCAACAGCGUUAGUUACGCAUUAACAUUCAAUAAAUCGUGGACGUCAAAAUAGAAAAUACCGUUAAAGAUUUUAACAUUAAAAUCGUGAAUUCACUAUUCUUCUUACUUGACGGAGUACGUUCGCAGGUGCACAUCGAGCGGAAAUCUUCGCAAGAGAUACGGACGCCGUGGAUGAGCGCAUA